CUUACUUCUGAUGUAACAGCUAUCUGGAAAAGAGGGCCACACUAGGUGAGCACUUAACAGGUAGCAGGCAGCUACAUAUCUUGCUUUUCUAAACACACCAACAGUGCAAGAGCCCAGUUCUCACUGGGAAAGCAGCACACAGGGAUGGAGAGGAUUACCGUAUUUUUCACUCUAUAACACGCACCCAACCAUAACACGCACAUAGUUUUUAGAGGAGGAAAAUCCGUAGGCAUGCCACCCGUAGGCAUUCCCUCCAUAACACGCACAGACAUUUCCCCUUACUUUUUAGGAGGAAAAGUGAGUGUUAUGGUGCAAAAAAUACGGUAUCUUUUUUGGUUCUCCACUAAGAUCAAAUUGGAGAUUACCUGUGGGGCUUUGAAUCUUGUGGUGGGGGGCACAGAGGGAGACUCCACUGGUACAACGGGGGACCUUUUCUACUAAGGUUCCUAGCCAUGGCAAGGGGCAAUCUCCAUUCCAGUUUAAGUGGGAGAGUAAAGAAACAAACCUCCCCUUCCUAGGUGCUGCUUUCACAAAAAGAAUAAGGUUUGUUAUGUACUGAAGUUCUCACCCUGGGCCAGCAGGGGGAUACUGUAGAUAGUUUUCACUCAGGUCUGCAUAUGCAAAUAAGGAAUUGAAAGUGACGUUCAGUGAUUGGAUAGUUAUAUAAAGUUGUUACUGCUGCUUUGUAGUUGAGCUCUAUAUAAGCAAGUUGGCUGAACCCUUCAGUUCAGUUCUGUUCUGGCCUGUGAAUAAACAAGAGCUGUCUGAAGAAUUGCUGUGUUGUCUGAUAUGUUCACCCACAACUUAACAAGGUUCCCUUCCUAUGUAAUUAGCUAAGAAAAAACAAGAUGUGUUUUUAAGUAGAUGUCAAGUUUAUGAAUUAUUACUACUACAGUUUGUAUAUAUAUCAGGGGUAGGCAACCUAAGGCCCGGGGGCCAGAUGCGGCCCAAUCGCCUUCUCAAUCCAGCCCGCGGACAGUCCGGGAAUCAGCGUGUUUUUACAUGAGUAGAAUGUGCACUUUUAUUUAAAAUGUAUCUCUGGGUUACUUGUGGUGCAUAGGAAUUCAUUCAUUUUUCCGCUUCAAAAUAUAGUCCGGCCCCCCACAUGGUCUGAGGGAUGGUGGACCGGCCCACGGCUGAAAAAGGUUGCUGACCCCUGGUAUAUAUAUAAUACAUGCUGCAACAGAUAAUGUUUUGUUCAAUGGGCAGUCCAAAAGCUAUAGUUAACUGCAAGACAGUUAACAGAGACCAGGAGGCAGGAUCGCAGCAAACAUUUUUAAAAAACAACAACUCCAUUAAUUCUCUGUUCACUUCCAAGCUCAAUUCAAAAUGCUCAUACUAUCUUUUAAUAAUUCAUAAUCAUAUUCCAUUUGUGUUUAAAGCAUACAAUAUCCCAAUACCUAAAAUGGCAUUGCUUCUUUUCCAAUUCUCAGUAGUUAAAGAAGGACAAUUGUUCAUUCUGCUCCUCUGUUCAGAGAACAGGUUAGUGAGAUUCCUGUUUCUAAACUGGAAAUCUCAGAUAAAGGAGAAGAUACAGAAAAUGGACAUAGACACUGGGGGACAAACAGCAAGAUGGGGGGGGGGGAAGCAUGAAAAAGAUGAGCUUUCAGUCUUAAUAAGUUUUCUUUCUUCCCUUGAAUUCUCUGCAGUUUUCCAUUUUUUCUUAGAGAAGACAAAUCUGUAAUACAGUAAUUGUUCAUUCCUAAGGACACUUCCAGACUGCCUCAUUGUUCACACAAAACUUGGUUGUUACCCCACACUUAUGUCGCUUUUCUAACCACAAAAAGCCUGAUGAGAAAAGUGAUAGAAAAUUCCACUGGAUAGCAGUGUGGGAUAGCAACCACUAGCUGGCAAUGUCAUAUAACCUCUGCACAAACAUAUCUGAAUGAAUACUCAAUAAAUAGGAGAUGUUGUAUAACUUCUGUGCAAGUUUUGUGCAAAGAUCAGCAUGAGUGUUCCAUAAAUAGCUAGCCUGGAAUCUCCUCUGGUUACUUCCAGGGUUGGCAACUGCAAUGAGUUGUCUUUGAAAAAUAGUUUGAAAACUGCAGUUAGUAUAAAAUACAGCCUGGUGAUCAAUUAAGAUCACCAAUGAGGCUCACCUUCACCAUGAAGUGAUCCAACUUAUGAGUAUGUGCAAAAGACACGGCCUUUUCAGCGGUGCAGCCAGAAUUAUCAGAAACCCUUCCUGUAGAGGUCCGCUAGGAUCCUUUAUUGUUGGUGUGAGGCAUGUUUAAAAAACCUUUCUGUUUUAACAGACUUUUAUUAAGUAAUUUUUAAUCUUCUAUUUUUAAAGGUUUUACACCAGCUAUUUUCAAAUCUUUAAAAUUGUUUUAGAUUCUUAUUCUUUGUUAUGUUGUUUAGAUUGCUUCAUUGUAAUGUUACUUCCUUUUUUAAUGGCACAAUCCUCUGGUCCGUUUAGGUGCAUUGAAUUUUGAGGAUCUCCUGCUCUGUGGAUGAAGGUGGGUGCUCAUUCUCAGAGAGGGAUGUAUGGUCUUCCAAACCCUCUCUGAGCCAUUUUGGAAAGCCAUUUUGGUAUGGUGUCAGAUAACAGAAAUGUGUGUGCUAUCUGGCCAGAUGUGGACACCCUAAAUUAACUUGUUGCCCUCAAAUGUGCUGUCUCAUCACCCAUGUUGAAGUAAAACUUAACUACCCGUCCAGUUGCUUUGAAUACUUGGAAGAGAGGUUACCUACCUCAGGCAGCAAAAUUUAUUCAGCCAACCAUCCCAUUCCAUUACACCAGCAGCUCUGCCAAUACAGAUUCACUCUCCCUUGCCCAUUUUGGAUUGCUUUGUUCUUAAAUAUUUAUUUUAAUAUUGGGUUUAUAUUUAAUUUUUUUAAUUUAUAUUGACCUAUAAGGUGUGGUUUUCAAAGGCUUGUCUCAUAGUGUCCUGAACAUUCCCUGGGUGCCCAGUAGAAAGUGAGAUAACGCCUUUACCACCAUCUUCCAUCUCUGCUCCAGUGGUAGAAGGUACAGGGUGUUCUUAUUUUGCCAAGUAAGCAAAAACAGUGUGAGUUCAAUGCACACUGCUUUACAUUUUUUGGUCAGGCAAACCUAGUUAAAAUGGUGGUACAAUUGGCUCAGUAGCUCCUAUUUCUGUCCGCUUCUGCACCCUGACAUUUGGCCGGUUUGGCCAGCCUCUGGCCAAAUAUGGGAUAACCCAUAUUUUCUUGCAAUGUAAGUACAAGUUUCUUUGCAACUUGGUUGCAAAGAACAUGUCUGCAAGAACAUCUUUUAUUGUGAAUUCACAUACCUGCAAUGGCCUUCUAUAGCAACAUGUGUCCUUUGUGCAGCACAAAUAUUUUAAACAUAUAAAAAAUGCAAUACAUAGUUCAGCCUAACUGGGAUGGGAGCAGUGAGGAACGUUGCAUCCUCAGACAGACAGGAAGAAGAUAAGGGAAGAAGAGCAUGUCUAGAAACUGAGAGUGCUUCCAGUUUCCACUAUUUUCUGGAAGGUUUCAAUCACAUACCUGUGAGUUCAGGUUUCACAUUUAUAAUUGAUUAGGAAGUCUUGUGCAUCAAACCCACUUCCCCAAAGAUUAGACAUUUUGCGAUAAGAAAAAGUUAUGGAGAAAUGUGCUGGAAGUGUGUGAUAACACUUGCUUCAAUGCAGUGUCAUCCAAUAUUCCUGUAAACAAUCAGAAAUAAUGCCCAUUAAAUAGCCAACGUCAUUUAAUGCCCCUGCAAACAAACCAGGAUGCAUGCACCCCAACAAUGCAAUCCUACGCAUGUCUACUCAUUUAUUUCAGUUAUGCUUACUCAUAGGAAUAGAAUAUAGAUGUAGAUUAUAUUUCACAUAUAAAUAUGGCACUGUGGUCUAAACCACUGAGCCUCUUGGGCUUGCUGAUCGGAAGGCCAGCGGUUUGAAUCCGUGCUCUGUCCUAGCUUCUGCCAACCUAGCAGAAAAGCACACCAGUGCAAGUAGAUAAAUAGGUAAAUGGCAGGAAGGUAAACACUGUUUCUGUGCACUCUGGCAUUUGUCGUAGUGUUCCAUUGUGCCAGAAGCGGUUUAGUCAUGCUGGCCACAUGACCUGGAAAGCUGUUUAUGGACAAACGCCAGCUCCCUCAGCCUGAAGCGAGAUGAGUGCCACACCCCAUAGUUGCCUUUGACUGGACUUAACCGUCCAGGGGUCCUUUACCUUUACCUUUAUUUCUCAUUUGCUACUGCUGAUGCCUUUUUUCUGGUACAGUGGUGCCCCGCAAGACGAAUGCCUCGCAAGACGAAAAACCCGCUAGACGAAAGGGUUUUCCGUUUUUCGAUGCGCUUCGCAAGACGAAUUUCCCUAUGGGCUUGCUUCGCAAAACGAAAAUGUCUUGCGAGUCUUGCGAUUUUUUCGCCCCCCUUUUUCUAAGCCGCUAAGCCGCUAAUAGCGUUUAGCCUAGCCGCUAAGCCUUUAAUAGCCGCUAAAUCGCUAAUAGCACUAAUCUGCUAAGCCGCUAAUAGGGUUGCUUCGCAAGGCAGAAAAACCACUAGACGAAGAGACUCGCGGAGCGGAUUAAUUUCGUCUUGCGAGGCACCACUGUAUAUAUGGGAAUAUGUUAUUAUCUUCUGAUUCUUGUUUUUACUGCAGUCAUCUUGACAAAUUAAGCCCAUUUCAUAAAGUUCUGUUUUCACCUCCUUUGAGCAUGCAUCCUUUUGUGUCAAAUUCUUCCUUUCUGAAUUAUUGACAGAUACAAAUUCUAUAUAUUUUAAACACUAGCAAAAAAUUUUAAAAUGUUUAUAGUAGUGUUGCCAUAUUUCAAACUAAAAAUCUGGACAGAAAAACCGGCACUGCCAACAUGGGCUGCCAUAUGUCCAGAUUUUCUUGGACGUUUGACUGACUUCCACCCAGGGGUGGGUCUAACACAAGUAUAACACAAUUGAUGGCUUAGGAUUGGUGGCUGGCCAAAGUUGGCAUCUUGACCUUAUGAGGAGUAGAGGCUGUGGAGAGACCAUGGAGAAUAUGCUGUCCUAAAUAGUACUAUUACUUUACAUUUUGCCCUUAAAUGACAAUCCUUGUUAGAUGGGGUAUGUGCUACAAGAGGCCCACCCAACCUCUGCAGUUAGGCCACCAAGUCUCUGCCUCUUCACCACCACUGUCUCCAUUCCUUCAUUUUGCUGCUCACUCUUGUUGCCAGCACUAGGGUGCCAUUUGCUUUCAGUGGCAGUAGCACACACAGAGCAGAUUCAGCCCCUUGUCCCCAAGGUGGGUUAGUCUGCCUGACCCUUUUACAAGUAGCACUGUAAAAUCAUUUUAAAAAUUCCUUCCAGUAGCACCUUAGAGACCAACUAAGUUUGUUAUUGGUAUGAGCUUUUGUGUGCAUGCACACUUCUUUAGAAUCACCUAUUGUAAAAUCACCUAUUUAUAUUUUAUAUUUUGACUACAAAGCUGUAACUUUAAAAAGAAAGUUGUUUUCAACUUUCAGAAAUACUAAGGGUGACUUUUUAUACCAGGUAACUGUAGUCUAGCCACAAGUUGGGGAAAGAAUAAAAAUGGGUAGCAUUCCUAAAGCACUUUCAAGUGUUUACAGUUGUUCAAAUAUAUUGUUGUGUAUUGUUAUCCUUACAUCUACCUUAAGGUAUUAUUAUUCCCAUAUUAUAGAUGAACAGAUUGACUCUGAAACUAAGAGGGAAUGGCUUGCCUAUGACAAAGGUAAGAUAAAAAAUUGUCAUUUCUUGAUUUGUAUCUCCGUUUCUUGCACCUUUUCUCUGAAGUAACUCCUACUUUCUUCACUGAGAUUUCCUCCCAGGUAGGUGCUCACAGGAUUGCAGCCUUAGUCACUAUGCUACAUUUCAGAGGACAGGUUUAUAACCUGUAAAUUGAUGUUCAUGUUAUGGUUCCCGAACCCAAGUGCACCACAUAGGUGGAACUCCCACUCUGUGUUUCAGACCACAUAGGAUUAUUGCUCUGAAGCUCAUAUAACUCUUGCUAAAUUGCAACUUUCCAUGCUGAAGGGCCCUGGUUAUAAAUGAAAUGUCCUUUUGAGGGGAAAAGAUUGACUAUUUGUCCUAUGUGAAUAAGGUUGAUUUGGUUAUCAUGAUUUUAUGAUUUUGAAUUGUGCCAGUGUGUUGCAUUUUAAUUGACUUUUUUUUUUUUGCCCUGGGAACCUUGGAUGGAAGGGUAGGAUAUAAGUAGAACAAACAAACAAAAUAACUUAAUAAAACAUUAGUUUCCCCCUAUAGUUUCACCUUAAGUGAAUCCAAUAGGUUUUGGAAUUUUCUGGAUCUUUCUUCCUCUCAUUGAAGUCUGAAAUGGUAUCCCUGCCUGUUCACUGCAUUUUACUCCAUCACACAUUUUUCUUUCUUCUAGUACUUUAAUAGGGAAUUUAAGGCUUGCAGAGUCUGGCUCCCCAAAAAGAACUUUCACGCAGCAAUGAAAACAUCAGGAAAAAAACAUUAUUUUUGAGGUUUCCAUAUAAAACCUAAAAUGAAAUGGUGCCAGAUAUUUAACUGCAGUUUGGUAAUAUUCCAGUGACUACAUAUAGAACUGUUUACUUUGUCUAGCACUGGUGCUUGAAAAUCUAGUUAAUUCCUCAAAAUGAAUUUUAGCAAACAGGGCCAUAUAUUGCUUUGCUAAGAAUAGGUGACCUAGGCUUAAGUGAAGUGAAAUGUGAAUAACAGAGAAGCCCUACACUCAAUACUUGUUUCAAGAAGAGGAGAUACCACUGGGGUGCGUAUCUGCUUGGAAACACACCCUCUGAUGAGGAAGCCCUUCUCCCUAAUGUGUAAGAAGUGGCUGCUUGAUGGUUAGAAAAACGCACUCUACUCCUGCUCAGGGAAUUUUUUUUAUUUUCCUAUAUUAGGUGUUCCAGAGUUAAAUCCUAGCAUUGAAAACACCUGUAGGGGCUCAGAUCUCAGAGGAAACUGAUCCCUGCCCCUACUGAGCUCUUGCGACAUUUUGAACUGGAAAUUAAAAACUGAAAGAGAUUACUCAUGUAUUAGUUCCCAGCCGCACACUACUCAACACACAAUUAUUUUGUUUCUGCUGGAAUCUUAACUGAAACUCACAAUGCAGCCUCAAAGGAGUCCCCUGCUGCUGAUGAUUACAGAGAAUCCCACUUCCUGCCACCUAGGCCCAUGCAACUCCCUCAUUUUCACCACCCCGCAGAGAUAAAUAAUGUAUAUUAAUGUGAAAAUAUCAACAGCAGAAUCUCUUAAAUAGUGUUUGCAAAAAUCAAACCUCUCUUCAAAUCAAAAUGAUGCACAUCUAUUAAUUUUGACCAAGGAAAGAAGAAAAACUCAAAAUCUCCAUGAAAAGGCUUUUGAAAAGUGUUAGAUCCUCUCCUUGGAAAAAAAGUGUAAGUGGGCUAUAGAUGGGAUAUAUUUCUAAGAAAGAAACAAAUAAACAGCCUCAAGGCUAGACCAGAAAAGGCUCUUUAAGGAUGAGGCUAUAAAGUGAAAAUUGGCAAGGCUGGAUCUGUUUUGCUUGCUAUGCCCAAGUCAUUAAAUUGAGUAAUGUAGAAAAACAAUUAUUUGCAUCUUAAUUAUCUGAAACUUCUUUAUAUUCCAAGGUACAUUCCACAGAAUCUCUCCCUGCCUGGGGUUUUUUUUAUGCUGCAGCAACAGCAAUGGGAAGUGUGCCCAACUGGACCCUGUUGCCAGAGAGAGACAACAUCCCUUGCCUUUGGGGUGGCAUGGAUUCCUCUUCUGACUCUGCUUGCUCCUUUCCCUCAUGCACUACAAUGCAAGAGGAUCAGCCCAUAAACUGGACAGAUCUUGAAAUAAAUAGCAUUGCUACUUUUUUAAAACCAACAACAACAAUUCACCUCAUAAAUUCCCAGCAAGAUUUAAAGAAGUGAAAGUAUACUGUUUUAACUAAGUCAUUGUGGUGUAGUGAAUUGAAUGGAGACUUAGAUUGGGAUGAUGCAGCUUCAAACCUCUGUCUGGCCAUAAAUUUCACUGGUUGGCCCACUCUCUAUAUCCCAGACUAGCCCACCUCACAGAUAAAAUUGGAUAAUCUUCUGGUUUGGGACCAGGGUAUUUGAGGAGCCACCUUUUUCUGUUUCUUGAUUGCAAUCAUCUUCUGAGGCCCUGUCCACCAAGGCAGGUGCAGUUAGAGGGGAUAUAGGACAGGGCCUUUUCAGUAGCAGUGUCCUGAUUGUGGAAACUCCUCCCUAAGGACACGAGACUGGCUUCUCCUGUAUUGUCUUUCUUAGGCAGAUGGCAGGUUUUAGGCAGUUUUCUUCCACCAGGUUUUUACGUCCCCUGUUGCUUCUAUUUAUAUCAAACUAAUACCUUGAUUUUGAUUCUUCAUGUUAUGUAGACUCAGGUCAAAGACUCUGAUGAAGUUGCACUACAAGUCAGUGGAUUUUAAGCAGUGAUGUAGUUUCUCACACAAAAAUGGGGUAUUUAGUACAAUUAAUCAUCUGUUUUCUUGUUUUCUUUUUAAUGAACCUCAUGUGGCCACGUCUAACUAUAUCAAAUACCUCUGCUCAAGUCAUAUAAUAUUAAUAAUAUUGGCACCCUGGUUUAGACAUUUUUUUUCCAGAGAAGUGAUCCUGCAUUCUCUCACUGAAGAAUGCUGAACAGGCCCAUAAUUGUAUAAAUUAAAUAAUCCAUAACAUGAAAGCUUCUGUUUAUAUCUGGUAGGCUUUCUUUUUAAUCUUACAAUCCAUAAUCCUGUAGAUAUGUUUUACCUGCAAUGAAGUCAAGGAGCUUCUUCUGACUCUAUGGCUAGCAUACAAGGUUCUAAUAUUCACAUAUCAAAAAAAGCAAUAGGAUGCCUUGCAGGGAAUUGGGGGUGGGGUGGGUUCCCUGGUACUUCUCAUUUGGCAAAUUCUGCUAUGCACAGCUAGAGGGUAGUCCUGCUAUUGCAGCUGUGCUGGACUGAGGUCCCUGCACUGGGGCAAGGGAAAACAUUAUUCCAAUGCUUGAUCCAAUGCUUGGUGACACCACUGUUUUCCAAGGAUGUAUUUAUUUGGACCUUGUUUGUCAUAACUUCUCAUCAACUUGGUUGCCAAGAUAUCUGUCAAUCAUGUUAAGCAGGCACCUUCAAGGUAUUGUUUUUGGUGCUGAUUUUUAAAAAAUCAGGGUUGGCAUAAUGUUUUUGUUUGGUUUUUGACUCACAUAACAUGAAUAUAUAAGCAGUAUGUGGCUAUUUUAUUAAUAAUAAAGCAUGGAAGGGUGGGGAAGAAGAGAAAUAUUAGUUGUUUGAUAGUGAAGUAAUAAACACGGCUGUCUAAAUGGGUGAGCCCAUAAGACUAUUAAGUUCCAGGUAUACAAAUACCUUGUUGCACUUUUGCUUCUUAGUCUAGGCCCAAUAACUUUACCCAUUCAGCUGAGGUACACAGACCUAUCAAUGAAAUUGCUACUUCCAGAACUCCAAAAACCAGGCAUUCAGUGUACCGUAUUUUUUGCACCAAAGCACUCACUUUUUUCCUCCUAGAAAGUAAGGGGAAAUGUCUGUGUGUGUUAUGGAGGGAAUGCCUACGGGUGGCGGGGGGGAUCUGCUGCAGUCGUGAGCAGAAGAUCCAUGGUUCCCCUUCCCUCCUCCGUGGCUCGCUUUGAAACAGCAAAGCGGGAGAAGAGCCACUGAGUGGGGAGGAGAGAGGGACAGAGAGCCUGCUUCUUUAAAGUAGCAAAGCGGGAGAGGAGAGGAGCCGCUACACGAGUAUAAGCGGCUCCUGUCCGGUUGGUUCCUUUAAAGCAAGCAGGCUCUCUGUCCCUCUCUCCUCCCCACUCAGCUCGCUAAAUAGCAGCGAAGUUUUUCAGCUCGCUAAGCCGGGGAUGAGCGGGGAGGAGGGAGAAAAGCAGAGCCUGCUUUCUUUAAAGGAGCAAAGCAGGAAAGGAGAGGAGCCUUCUCCCCUUAUACCCCUCUUCUUCAUUAUUAGCAGCAUCCUUCUCCACCCACCCCACGCGUGCUCCUUGUCCCUUGAGUGCUUUUCCUUCCCUCCCCACUUACAACGUGGUUACAAAGCACAGAUCCACAUGGAUCCUCAGGAUUUUUGCACUGGGUCACCCCAAAUUCACCAUCAGAUCACAUAGCAUGUCCAUGGCUACAUCUUGCACCAAAAAAAUCACGCACCCACUGUUGCCUGGGGCUGCAGUGGUGCCAAAACGUGGUUACAAAGCAUGGAUCCACAUGGAUCCUCAGGAUUUUUGCAUUGGGCCACUACAAACUCACUGUCAGAUCACAUGUCUGUGGCCACAGCAUGAACCACAAAAAUCAUACAUCCACUGUUUCGUUUAGAAUAUUUUUUUUCUUGUUUUCCUCCUCUAAAAACUACGUGCGUGUUAUGGUCGGGUGUGUGUUAUAGAGCGAAAAAUACAGUAGUUUAUCAGAUUGAAUGAGAAUCAGUUGUGAUAUAGUAGCUAAAGACUGAGGGUGAGUUAAGCCUUUUGCACAAUGGGUAGUCCUUAGCAAGUCACUAACUCAGCCCAGCUUACCUCAUAAGUUUGUUGUGAGGAUAAAAUGGGAUUUCCCCCAUUCAUGUUGUACAGCAGGGGUGCCGAUCAAAGAGGGCCAGAUUUGAUGAAGUGAACAGGGGUGAGGGCCGACCAAAGUUGUUGUUGACUUUUUUUUUUUAGAAUUGAAGUUGUUGACCUUUUUUGGGGAUUUUACCCCAGGAAAGUGGGCUUACCAUGGAGUGACAUGGAGCAGUCCGUUCAACUACUGGAUUCCAGACAGGCUGCCAUUUCCCUACAUCUUUGUUUUUCCCAAUUAGCAGCUCCAGCCCCCUCUGCAGCUGCCCAAAAGCACCCAUGUUUGUUUCCUGACUCUGCUUCUGUCUCCUUUGCUCAUUCAUAGACUUCAAAGGAGCCAAAAUUACUCCUUACACUACUGGGCUACCCAUAUUUUAUUGCGUACAGGAACAAUAAGAUUGCAAAAGGCAAUAUCCAUUCGGAUUGCAAGGUUAAGUUUUUUCUGCUGUUCCCAAAACAUGGUGGAGGGAAAUGUGUAGACCCAGCUGAGCUGUGAUUCUCUACGAGUAUACUUCUAGGUGCUAUAUUAUUGAGAUGGGAGGUAGAAAUCAAGGAAAGUUGUUCCUUGCAAGUACCUCCACCCGGGCUUCCUGGGGCUGAGAUUGUCUUGCCUGAGCUCCUGUGUCCCUAUGUGGUUUAGGGAUUUUUCUGCCACAGACUCUUUUGUGCCUGCCCCUGCCCCAGCUCUAGCUCUGUUGUGGUUUCAUUGUGGGCUCUAAUUCCAGUCAUUGUCUCAGCUAUCCUUCUCCAUCUGUAUAUGGGAACAGCGACCUACAUAUUUGGGGAGUUCUGAUAGUGACUGAAAGGAGCAUCUUUGAAGGCAAGUUUAUUCUCUAUUUCUCUCUGUGGGUGAAGUAGAAGCAGGGCCAGGGCCAGGUAAUGGGCACUGGGGAGCCAGGGAGGAAGGCUUUUUCUCUCCAUCCUCAGCUUUUGUGUGUGGAAAUAAUAUGAGGCUGGUUCACAUGUUUAUCCGAUAUACAAAUAGUGUAUGAACAUUAUACAGUGCUGUGUAUUAAUAAGGCAUAUCUGCAUUGAGCUAAUAAUAUGAAACAUCCAGCCUCAAAAUAUUUCUACCCCUUUGGACCUUCACUUCUUUAAGCAAUUCCAAAUUUACACGUAUAUGUUUGUCAUAAAUGUAUUCAGAUGUGGGUUGCAUCUGCUCACAUGGCAGAAUGCAUGUGGGUGGGGCGGGGGUUGAGAAAGUAGAAAGCAUACUUACAGAAUCAUAGAAUCAUAGAAUGGUACAGUUGGAAGGGAUCCCAAGGAUCAUGUAGUCCAACCCCCUGUAAUGCAGGAAUCUCAGCUGAAACAUCCAUGAUAGAUGGCCAUUUGACCUCUGCUUAAAAACCUCCAAGGGAGGAGAGUCCACAACCUCCCGACAGAGACCAUUUCAUACAUCCUGAAACCCAGUCAUGCCACUUUAGGGGCAGGACCGUAACUCAGUGGUAGAGUACAUGCUUUGUAUGCUGAAAGUCCCAGGUUCAGUCCUUGGCAUGUCUAGAUAGGACUCCUGAUUGAAACUCCAGAAAGCUGCUGCCAGCCAGUGUAGACAGUACUGAACUAGAUAGUUCAGUGAUCUGUUGCAGUAUAGGGCAGCUUCCUAGGUAAGACCUGUUGAAAAAGGAUGAAGUGUAGAUGAAUGGGCAGAUAGACAGGAGACGCAGCUCAAAAUCUCUUAUCAGUCAUGAGCCUCAAAGCUCCUGUGCACAUUGAGAAAUUGCUUCUUAACAUGUGGAAAUUCAUGUGGAGUAUUUUAGAUCAUAAUGGGAUAUUUGCCCUAUGUUGUACUCAGGGUUAUAAACCCACCUCAUAGUCUGUGUGUAGGUUUUGUGUCGAUUCCCACAUAUGUAGGAAUCUGAUGGCUUCAAGUGGCCUCACUGAGGCUCAGUAAAUUUGAAGACACUUCUUACUAUGAAAAGUACUACAGAUCUGACAACAACAAUUAUUUGAAAACAACAGUUAAGGUGAACAUUGAUUUUCCAUUCUGCCUCCACCCGCACUCUCUGCAAAUGACACUGAGUAAAAUAACUGCCAGCAUAAUUGCUUUGGUCUGCCCUAUAUAAGGCAAUAUUAUCAUUUAGAUGAUCGUGCACAGCAAAGGUGUGGAUCUGAAUGUAAGCUUCAUUUGUGUAAGCAGCCAGCACCUGGGAUCCAGGCACAAGCUGUUCCUACCCCCACAACGCUCCCCCUGUCCAUGUCAGAAAGAGAAACAUGACACUCUCAUAUUGUUUUUAACAUGCAGAGCUCAGCCUGCAGUUUGCCUUGCUAAGAAGUCCUUGUCAUUAUGAAUGUGCAUUUAUGAGUGCAUUGUACACAAUCCUGGUAUGCAAAUGUGGAGCAUUCAGAGAAGUGAAAUCAUUCUGUGUUAUUAUUAUCUUUGUAAAUUACAUCUUAAGAGUUGCUUGGUUGUGUGUGCAUAUGUGUGUGUGUGUGUUUUUGAGGACUUUAUGAUGGCAGUUUAGUCUCAGCCAUGUAGCACAUAGUGUUUCUUUCAUUAUUAACAAUAACUGAGCCAAUGAAAAUGCUUUUAAAAAUACACCAGACAAGCAGUUAUCCGGCUCUUCCUUUUCAACAUCCACAAACCAUCUUUUAGCAUCUUAUAAACCAGCAUAUAAAACAGCUUUGUAAACAUCUGCUUUUCAUUGUUAAUUGUCAGGAAAAAUUAGAGGCUUAAAUGCUUCUUUUGCAGCGCUUCUUAAUCCUGUAAGAAAAGCGGUAGAUUCUCACCACUCUCCCUUUUCUAGAGCAGGUCCUUCAGACUGUCCCCCCCCCCACCUUUGUAAAAUAAAUAAAUGUUGGCUCACAUUUAUUAAUGGACAAUUUAACAUUUUAGAUUUCUAAACAUAACAACCCAUUUUGCAGUGCUAUGAAUGAGUCACAGUGAACGCAGAAUUUUACAUAUUUCCUGGGAGCUAUAAAAUGCAGUUUCUUUUAUAUUUUGAUGCUUGCCCCCCAAAUGCUUUUGAGGGUUGCUUCUAUCUUUUUGAGGAAAACUUCAAUGAAGUGCUAAUAAAAAUAUGAAGACUUUCAAAAUUCUCUAUAAAUGACUCUUCCCAGGAGCUGGUGAAUGAUAGCUAGCUGUAGGAAGCUCAUAAAUGAAACAGACAUUUUACGAAAAAGCGGGGAUUAAAAAUUGCAACAAUGCUUCUUUAGUUAUUUAUCUAGCAAGAAGCACAAUAAAAACAAUCUUCUUACAGCAUCAUAGUGUUUUGUUUUUAAAUAUUUUUUCCAUUUAAAAAUUUUAAAAUCCCAUUUGCUUUCCCCCUUCAACCCUAUCCUCAGAAUCAAUGCUGGUGCAGUCUGCCUGGCACAGAUUUGCUUCAGGUACUGUUCACAAUACACAGUAGCUGUAUUAUAGAAGUGGGUGGAAAGGCAAUCUGUUCACAAAAUAUGUUCUACCUUUAAAAAACUAUUACCCUUACUCUAGAUUUGCCACAUUUAAAUCUUCUCCUUUUGCUCCACUACUCAUAUUGGGGGGUGGGGGGGAUAUCUCACAGUUUAACAAAUAUAUGGUUUGCUCAGCUUUAAAUCAUUUUCUUCACUUACAGUCAGUCAAUUAAACAUUUACUCAGUGUAUUUAUUUUAAUUUCAGACUCUUUAAAAUAUAAAUCCACCCAGCUGCAUCUUAACAGAAAGAGGUGCCUCAGAGUUAGAACCUUAAAAGGCAAUGACAACAGGCAGAUUAUAUUUUUGUGUUUUUUUUUCCUCUGCCUUGGAAUUACUGCUUUUAUGUAAACGUUGACUUUUUAUUACAAAAAAAACUUUAAUGAAGAAGGAAAGAAAGAAAGUACACAAACAACAGUAUUGUAAAACAUAAUAUUGCUGUGAUUUGCUUACAGCAGUCAUUGCCAGUCUGGUGCCCUCCAGGGAUUUUGGACGCAACUCUGUGCCAAGGCUGCCUGAGGCUCAAGAGCUGUAGUCUAAAACAUCUGGAGGGCACCAGGUUGGCAAAGGCUGUAAUACUGGAGCUAGAAUCCCAUUACUACCUCCUGAUGUAAUGCUUUCAAGGGAACUGAUUAUUGUCAAUGUAGUCCAUAGGGUAAAAUUACAUAACGCUGCUUAAUGCAUUUGUGUAUUAAUUUCCAUGGUAUCAUAAAUCUAAGAAGCCUUAACAUUUCAUAUCGUAUUAGGAUGUAAAGUCCCUUGUUGUAAAGGCUGUGUGUUUACUGUGCAAAUAAAAAUGCCCCUGUCUUUCAAAAGCUGUUGAUAGAAACACUGGAAGACGCUACCUGUAAAAUGACUUCAUUCAAGUUAAUCUGUAAUUAAACCCUGAUAAUAUUUGAAGAUUCUAUUUAAGAAUGUUUUGCUGUUGCAAUAAAAUAUAGUCUUCAUUUCUAAUGUGCUAAUGAGCACUUUUAAAUGUUAAUGGAUAAUUCUUAGGUUCAUUUGCUAAUUAUUCAGAUAAAGAAAUCAACACCAUUGGCCAAUUCCUUCAAACCUUUCUCGCAGCAAGUCCAUUUGCUGUUUGUACUUCCACAACUUUCAAAAAGUUAAGCAUAAAUAAAAGUUAAAAGAAUUAUCACAUUUAAGCUGAAAACUGAAUUCAUUUAGCACCCCUUCUAAUACAAUAAAGCAUUAUUAAAUAGAGAGGAGAAUGAGAGCCCUUCUUUUGACCAAAAUCUACUUAAUUUACAUUUUAGAACAGAUGUUAGCUAAGCAUUUUACUAAUUUUAGCUGCUAUCUUGACUGGGUGAUAUUCCUAAUUACAAUGUUUAAUCUUUUACACUAAAGCAUGCCACUGUUACUAUUAUUCUCUGACUCCAUAAACCCUCUUACUUGCCUUUUUUUACUUCUCUAUGCAGCUUUCAAACAAUCUUAUUGAUUUGAUAUCUUGCUUCUAGAGACAUCUACUUGAAGCUUCAUCCAAGCAUUUACCAGCUUGUAAUGGGGA